GCUUGUCUGAGGCCUUCUGAAGCGCAGCCUGGUCCUGACACUUCUUUUCAACUGUCUCUGGAGCCAGUCCUGCCUUGUACUGCUGUGUGUCCUUAGAAAAUAAGUUGCCAGGUGCUGAACACCCACAGUUUGGAGUGAUCACUCAUGAGGUCACGGUUCCCACUGGAUGAAUGAGAGGAAUACAGGCUGGAAAAGUCUUUCCUUCCAUUGAAUCCUUACAGCAGAACUUAUAACCCAAUUUAGUUUUCUCCAUAGUCUUUAGAUUUGCAUGGUCCCCUGAAUAUCUGCAGUGGAAAGCUGAAUUCCCUGCAGCAGACUCAAUAACCUUGCAGUGCCAAGCUAUGGGUGUCUGCAAAUUGCCGCGUAUUCAAACGUGCCUGUGGAUCCCCAGAAGAAAGGUGCUGUAGAGCAAUGCACAGCAGUCUGAAUGAGCAGGGGAGUGUAGCUAUGUCAGCAGUCUAUGGGUUGGUUUUGGGCACCUGUGUAUAUGAAGUCUGCAGCCAAACUGCUGUUCUUAUCAGGUUGGAGGGAAGGAUGAGGAAUGCUCUAGGAAACCUGCCCCAUCUCUCAACCAGCCAUCACACCCUCCCAGAAAAACAAGCCUAAUGAUGCAGCAAGACAGAGUUUCUCCUCAUUCCCUCCUUCCUAUUCUCUUCUAAGGAUCAUUGGGUUUAAUAAGAAGUUGCAAGCUGCUGGAAUCACAUUUUGCUGUCCGUACAGCUUGGAGAUGAACAACUCUUUGAUUAAGCAUCAAAAUAUUAUGGAAAAUUUCUAUAUGGAACCAAAAGAAUGAAUCUGUGGCAAGAAAGCUGGAGGGCAUCCUGCCACCUCUGCAAAGUGCUCCUGACCCUGGCGCAUGGACAGCACAAGCUACACUAACUGUGCACAGGGCAGUGUUGAGGCAAUGUAUGAUAAGGCUCCUUGUGAAGGUGAACAAUCUCUUCUGAAUGAAACUCCAGUUUGUGCAAGAGGUGCAUCUCAUGCCCACCCUGAGCUUUGGAGCUCAUCUUCCCUCGUGGCCAGCAGUGAGUUUGCAUGCCAUGGCAAGCAAGGCCCUUGGCACAACUGCAGUGUGUAAGCUGGAGAUGCACACUUUUGCUCAGGUUGGCACAGAUUGCUCUCCUUGCAAGUUUUCCCAGCUUGCCUGCCUGCCCCGGGUGGUACAGACACAUCUUCCUGCCUCCCUCUGCUCCCUGGCCCCUCUCUGGCUUGUUGAGUCAUUGCUCCAGUCUUGAGUGAGUUCUAGGCAAUUUCUAGGAUGAGAAAGCAAGCUCUUCUCAUUGCCUCAGGUGAGAUUAAACAUCACAUUUUGCUAUGAUACUGGGGACAGAUUGGCUGGUUGAGAGUGCCAUGGAAUUAGUUUUACCAUAAUUAUCAAAUCCCACCUGGCAAUUUCUUUCUGUUUCUCCCUGUUCCUCUGGUCAUCUCUUCUGAAUAUGGACUGGUUGCUUCUUGCCCCUAUGUCCCCAGCCCAGACACAGCAAUCUCUUCAUGUUGACUGAAGGUGUUGAAGUUGGUGCAUCACCCUGCUUCCUGAGCUGUGGUGCACCUAAAUAUCAGCUGUUUGUUGUGUGCUGAAUUGUAUGCAUACAAAAUGUGCAACCCUUGGGCAAGGUCUAGGGUCAGAGCCCUUUGGUUCCUCCUUGGUUUGGGGAAAGAAGCCCCAAGAGCCCGCUGGGCUCUGAGUUCAGCAGCAAGCCACAGGCAGUGCCACAGCAGGUCAGGCCCAUGGCUGGCACCUGGAUCACAUGGCUGCAGCUGUGUUCAAGAAAACUUUAUAGCAGGCUCAUGGCUUUCUUUGAGUGCGUUUCCAAACACAGUCCUGCCAGCCAGAAAUUCCUGGUUGCACCAUCUGGAUUCUGUGAAGGGAAAGAAACAAGGGUUGCCCUUUGAGAUGUGGCAAGAGGAAGGAAAGAAGCUCUGGCAAGGGUCCCACCUUUCUGAGGUUGUCAGUGAAGGAGUUCCCAAAUGCUUCUGCCAUUCCACUGAGCUUCUCCAAGUACCUGGGCAGUGCUGCCAGGUGAGUCUUGCUUUGCUGCAUACAUGGAUCCAAUGGAUUCUUAUAUCCUGCGCAGCGUGUUGCAAGGGAAAA